rnacentral:rRNA from 1 species
AUUGAACGCUGGCGGCAGGCCUAACACAUGCAAGUCGAACGAGUGGCGGACGGGUGAGUAAUGUCUGGGAAACUGCCUGAUGGAGGGGGGUAACUCCUGGAAACGGUAGCUAAUACCGCAUACCAUCGGAUUGGACCAGAUGGGAUUAGCUUGUUGGUGGGGUAACGGCUCACCACGGCGACGAUCCCUCGCUGGUCUGAGCGGAGGACCAGCCACACUGGAACUGAGACACGUUCCAGACUCCUACGGCAGGCAGCAGUGGGGAAUAUUGCACAAUGUGCGCAAGCCUGAUGCAGUCAUGCCGCGUGUAUGAAGAAGGCCUUCGGGUUGUAAAGUACUUUCAGCGGGGAGGCGUUACCCGCAGAAGAAGCACCGGCUAACUCCGUGCCAGCAGCCGCGGUAAUUC